rnacentral:rRNA from 1 species
UACGUAGGGUGCGAGCGUUAAUCGGAAUUACUGGGCGUAAAGCGUGCGCAGGCGGUUCGUUGUGUCGGCGGUGAAAGCCCCGGGCUUAACCUGGGAAUGGCCGUUGAAACUGGCGAACUGGAGUGUGGCAGAGGGGGGUGGGAUUCCGCGUGUAGCAGUGAAAUGCGUAGAGAUCGGGAGGAACAUCUGUGGCGAAGGCGGCCAUCUGGACCAGCACUGACACUGAGGCACGAAAGCGUGGGGAGCAAACAGG